rfam:Ipomoea nil DNA, scaffold: scaffold0715, cultivar: Tokyo-kokei standard.
AUCAAAGUGGCGUAGCGGAAGCGUGGUGGGCCCAUAACCCACAUGUCCCAUGAUCAAAACUUAGCUUUUAUA